UACGUAGGGGGCUAGCGUUGUCCGGAAUCAUUGGGCGUAAAGCGCGCGUAGGCGGCCAGAUAAGUCCGGUGUGAAAGUCAAAGGCUCAACCUUUGAAUGCCGCUGGAAACUGUCUGGCUUGAGUCCGGAAGGGGCGAGUGGAAUCCUGGUGUAGCGGUGAAAUGCGCAGAUAUCAGGAGGAACACCGAUGGCGAAGGCAGGUCUCUGGGCCAUAACUGACGCUGAGAAGCGAAAGCAUGGGGAGCGAACAGG
rnacentral:rRNA from 1 species